rnacentral:rRNA from 1 species
UACAGAGGGUGCAAGCGUUGUUCGGAAUUAUUGGGCGUAAAGAGCUCGUAGGCGGUUUGUCGCGUCUGCUGUGAAAACCCGAGGCUCAACCUCGGGCCUGCAGUGGGUACGGGCAGACUAGAGUGCGGUAGGGGAGAUUGGAAUUCCUGGUGUAGCGGUGGAAUGCGCAGAUAUCAGGAGGAACACCAAUGGCGAAGGCAGAUCUCUGGGCCGUAACUGACGCUGAGGAGCGAAAGCAUGGGGAGCGAACAGG